rnacentral:tRNA from 1 species
GCCGCCUUAGCUCAGUGGUAGAGCAGCUCACUCGUAAUGAGCAGGUCUUCGGUUCGAGUCCGAAAGGCGGCUCCA